GCGCUGCAGGCGCAGGGCCCGGACGGUCUCGUCCCUCCCGCAGCAUCCGCAGCUGCCCGAGGCCUGCCCGGUCUGUGAGCGAGCCCCCGGCCCGCCCCGCGCCCCUGCUGAGCUCCUCGCCAUGGCCUCUGCCACCGCCGCCUGCUCGCGGUGGGGCAGCUGCGAGGUCUCUUUCCACAUCCCAGUUGCGGCUGGAAUAACACUUUGCUGACCCUGGGAUAGGGUCCAGGGCUCCUCAGUGCUCCUUCGUCAAAAUAGAGGAUCCCAGACGUGGUCCUGCUUGUCUCCUCAUGCCCCAGUUAGUUAUUUGUACCCCACGGGUGCUCGCCCGCUCUCUUCAGGCUCCUAAGCCAGCAGCAAAUUAAUUCUGCCACAAAGAAGCCCAGAUAGCUCACACACUGUUUGGGAACCAGCAGCUUGUGCUGCACUGGGAAACUUUUUAGACUUUGAAGAAUCCAUUUAAAUAUUGUGGCCUCAGGAGGGUUCUGUUUCAAAUCCUUGCAAAUGAAGAGGACAAGGACAGCUUUCUUCUAACACUGUUUUGUUUUCAACCUCAUGGAAAUUGGAUGCAAAACUGAUACCGUCUGUCAGGCAUCUGUUGUUUUGCUGCCAAGGUCAGAUCUGCAAGCUAACUUCACAUUUUUCACAUGGCAGUUUUGUACUACAGCUAUUUCUCUACUGUAUUAAAAACAAACAGGCUCUUCUCCAAUAUAUUUUGUUUAUUCCUCUGCCUCCUUUUUAACCCUUAUAAAUGUUUAAGCCCUAGGAAGGUGCCCGCACCCAUUCACUCCCUCACCCUACACCAUCCUUAAGCUGCCUGUUCUUCAGCUGCCUGACUGCUGUACUGAGCAAGAGCUGAAGACCUGUCUGCGGAGACAGGUUGGGUUGUAUUCAGUCAAAAACACUGAUAAGGAGGAACUACUGUGGAUCCUGAAGUGGAAAAUAAUUAAAAUACAGGAUACAUAAAGAUGUAAUCUUCUGAACAGCCAUGUGGUUCCAGAAUUGGGUAGAAGAUGGUGGUGGCAGCUGCAGUAAGGAAACACUGGGUUUUGUUUUGUUCUGGACCUACAGCGGCCUGUCUGUCCUAUUGCAACUAAAAUAGUUUUUUUCUCUGUCUUUGGAAAACAAAUAUUGAAUAUACAUAGAUUUUCCAAAUGAACUGGGAGACAAAUUUACCAAACAAUUGCAAAACUCAAACUCACUAGCAAAAUCUUUAGAUUUUUGCUACUUCAUCCUCAGUGCUGUGAAAGUUAAGGUCUUGCUGUGGUCUUGAGUGAGCUUAGGUUUAUUUGUCCAUAUCUUUGAGAAGUUGAUCUAGUGAUCAGUAUCUAUAUGCUGAUACCUACUGAUAGCUAGUAUGAAUGUACCUCCUGUGUGUAUAAAGUUCCAUAAAGAACCGACUGGAAAGAACACUGAAAUAUGCCCAUUAUUUUUAAACUGAAAAAAUAAAUCUUGACUUGUGAGAACAUAA